GCAUGCAGGUGAGAAGGGAAGAUACAUGUAAUCUGCAUGUCUGCCACCAUUCCUUGUUACCCUUUUUCAUAUCCCAUGAGCACAGCACUCCAGCGGACCUACCCAAAAUAUGUGGGAGUUCAGUGAAACUCAAACAGCAUGCUUCUGGUCAGCCUAUACAGUCUCUGUCCUGGUGAGGAGCAUGAUCACCAACAGGCAAGAUCUUCUGGCCUUGAAGUUUCGCUUGAGUUAAAAGAGCUCAUCUCAGGACUUUCUGAAUUUUCAGCCCAUAUGACAUGGAAGAAGAGUUAGAAGGGGAAUCUGACUGCUUGGAUCAGGGACUGUCUGGCUGGUGGAACUUGAAUAGAUGUACAGUGCGCCACUCUGAGGAUCAAGUCUGACCCUGCCUUUAAAUUUGGAUUCAAAGUACUUAGAUUUUCUGGAAUCCCAUUCUACAAUCUUCUGGUCGAAAGUAUAAAACCAGUCUCUCAUUGCACCUUACGAGAAACACCCACAGGUGUGGAGGGGCAACCCACCCCUUCAUCUGGUGCCCAACGUGGAGGCUUUUCUCUGGGGUGAAGGUACACUCGAGCGUGGUCAUUGAGGACAAGUCGACAAGAGAUCCCGAGUACAUCUACAGUCAGCCUUACGGUAAGCUUGUGCACUCGGAAGAAGCUAGGGUGACAAUGGGGCAAACUAAAACUAAAAGUAAAUAUGCCUCUUAUCUUAGCUUCAUUAAAAUUCUUUUAAAAAGAGGGGGAGUUAGAGUAUCCACCAAAAAUCUAAUCAAGCUAUUUCAAACAACAGAACAAUUUUGCCCAUGGUUUCCAGAACAAGGAAAUUUAGAUCUAGAAGAUUGGAAAAGAAUUGGUAAGGAACUAAAACAAGCAGGUAGGAAGGGUAAUAUCAUUCCACUUACAGUAUGGAAUGAUUGGCCCAUUAUUAAAGCAGCUUUAGAACCAUUUCAAACAGAAGAUAGCGUUUCAGUUUCUGAUGCCCCUGGAAGCUGUAUAAUAGAUUGUAAUGAAAA
rnacentral:lncRNA from 1 species